CUGCAGGCAGUUUGUUAAAGCGUACGGCAACAAUAUUCUUGCUUUGAUCGCGUGUACUCGCUUGUGUGUCUUUUAUAUAAAUCACUGAUAACAUACAAUAUGAAGUUCAUCACAUUUCCCAUGAUCAUAUUCGGUGCAAUCGCCACCAGUCAAGCAUCAAAAUUACCCAAUAACAAAGAUAUAUAUGUUCUGGACAAACCGACAACAAAUAACAUAUAUAUAUCCCUACUACCAAUGGAAAACCCAACCAAAAACACUGAAAAAGAACCUAAAGAAUUUAAGCUUUUUAUUCAAAAAAUUAAAGAAAAUAUGAAAAGGAUGACCGACCGAGAUGUUAAGUCGGAUGAAAAGGUAUCGGACAUAACUUCUUGUACGAUUAAGGCAGAAGUUACGUUCCUUGGGUGUUUGGGUAUAGAUACAGAUGGUUUGAAAGAUACAAUUGAAGAAGGUCUUUGGGAGAAAUGCCUCAGAAAAGCCUGGAAAGUGUUCACCCAAUGCCUUUUUUCGAAACCUUCGUCUGCAGUACUUGAUAAUUACGCUCCCAAUGUAGUUAUGCAUAUGAAAUAAUUGUUUUUUUAUUAAACAUUUGCUAAGUAAUAUUGUUGUUUGAAGUUUUGAUGAUCUGGGUUUAUUAUGGGUUAUUUUCAACCACAGAUUCAUAAAUUGUAAGAAUUACACGAU